UACGGGGGGUCCAAGCGUUGUUCGGAAUCACUGGGCGUAAAGCGCAUGUAGGUGGCUUUUCAAGUCAACUGUGAAAGCCCAGGGCCUAACCCUGGAAGUGCAGUUGAUACUGUUGAGCUUGAGUACGGAAGAGGCGAGUGGAAUUCCUGGUGUAGCGGUGGAAUGCGCAGAUAUCAGGAGGAACACCAAUAGCGAAGGCAGCUCGCUGGGACGUUACUGACACUGAGGCGCGAAAGCGUGGGGAGCGAACAGG
rnacentral:rRNA from 1 species